AUGAACUCACUUAUUUUUGUUGUGUACCUUUACCCUAAAGUCUUACCUGCAAACCUGGCACUAAUGAUUCAAGGUCUGUAUCAGCUGAUGGACUCUUCGAUGUUGAUACCAAGAAAGAAGCAACCAAGCUGGCAAUUGGAAAAAGAGAAAAUCGUGUGGAUAUUAUUGAAAGUGCUCCACAAGACCAAACAAGCAAUGAUAAUUUGACUUGUGUUGAAGGAGCACACCAGAAUAAUAUAAGUGGUAAUUUAGUGACUAUCUAUGAAUUCUUUCUAGCUUAAGUGCUGCUAUAAACAAAUCUAACAUGUGUAGAUCCAAAUGUGAUACUCAUUUCUUUUAAGCAUUUUUUCUAUCUUUUUUCAAAAGUAUCCCAACUACUAACAACUGCUUCUUCUUGCAAAUGUUUCAACCCCCUGAAAUUCUUUUCUGCUAUUAUUUUUAUGGAAAUAUUCAUGACUGAAUGUGUAUUCAAAAUGCAUAGUAAUACAUGUUCACAUUAAUGUAUCUGUGACUACGUUUUAUAGUUAAAAAGUCAUCAUUAGGAUUAGGACAAGAAGAAGAUGUAGAAUCACCUUGGCAUUCUGAGGUACUGUCUUUCACUAUUAUUAUUAUUAUCAUUAUUUUAAAUAUCACCAUUCUGUGAUGUUAAAACGAAAAGGUAUGCUUUGACUUUCUCACCUCUACAUUUCCCCAUACAAACCAAUUUUUAUGGUUUAGCCUAUAAUUAAUAAACUGGCUAUGUGUAAUAUAAUAAGACAGCGUAGUACAAUUCUGCUAACUUGCAAGUUUCGCUUAAGGCAGUCAGUGUAGUAUAGUAUAAAACAUGAAGGCUUCCAAGUCAUAAGGAACCAGUUUGGGUUCUGAAGUUAAGUUUACCUAAAAGCUAAAGAAUUAUUCCAGCUCGAACUAUGCCCAAAGGCAUGAUUUUGUGGUUUUUGUGGAUGUGUAAAUGUCCUAAUGAGAUUCAGAAAGAAAGAAUUUGGAUUGUAGGGUUUGUUUAUAACUUGGAACUUGAAAAGAUAAUGCCUGGGACAUCAAAGUAUUAUUAUAUUUGUAUUGUCAAAUAGAUCCGCAAGGAACUUUUCCAGGGAAGGAAGAGCAUGGUGAAUACUAAUAAUAUGUUGGAUUAUACUAACAACAAUUCGGCUGAGCGCUGCUUUAAUACGUAACAACUGUCUUGUUCACUUAAAAUAACAUGCAUUGAGUAACUUGAUGGCAACUGUACUUGUAGUAAUAGAAGUACAAUGUAAUGAUGAGCUAAUGCGAUGUGACAGCUGUGGAAACAUAUAAGAAAGGUGUGAUCUUCUGAUAUAGGCAACUGCUGCCUACUGGUAUAGACACUGUGUUUGACGAUAAGAACAGACUAGAAUUCUGCAUGGGUCACUUACUAGCUGUGGGAUCUUGGGGAAACUUCUUUUUAACCUAUCGGAUGUCAGUGACUUCAUUCGUCAUAAUGGUACUAACGACUACCUUUCAGGUAUGUGGAACGCAUAAAUGUAACAAAUGUGGAAACACUUUUAAAACUGUAAAGGUUGCUAUAGAAUGUAAAACACAAUGAUCACAGUGGAAUACAGUGACUUACUAAGUAUCGGGGACACUUUUUGUAAACCUGAAGGACAAGCAAAUGACAGUAGUGUCAAGAACAGAAAGGAAAAGUUACAAGGGGCAUGUGGAUUCCUAAUCUGGGGGAUGUUAAGUUUCAGGAGACUGUGAUUGGCGAUACCCUAUAGAUGUGUAGUGUUUUGGUGCUUGAGGCUUUGUUGGUGCGAUCUCAAUGUUUUCACCUUGAGUAAAUUUCUAGUUGGAUACCAGCUGUGUGCUGGGCAGUUAGACACUGAAUGGAGAAGUUCAGGGGUUCAGCUGUAGUUGUAGGAGCAGAAAAACAAGUGAACAACAGUCCAUUAUAAGUCUCUGUAAGUGCUUCAUUUAAAGAGAAUAGAGCAUGCUGGGUUAGAGAAUAUUGUCGUGGGGCGGGGCAUGGUUGUAGUUGGAAUAGGAGUGGGAGUAGAAUUUCGGUGGUCAGGAAAGAUCUUUCUGAGUGUGACAAAAACUGCCAAGUGAAGCAUGAGAAGGAGCCGGUCGUGUGAAGAUCUAGAAGCAAAACCUGCUGGACAGAGAUAACAAUGGAUCACAUCUGUUCAUCAUUUUAUUCUAAUGUCUUGGAAUGGCCAGGAAGCAGGAAGUGGGGUAACCAUCAUUGAACCAUUUUUAUAUUUGUUGUUUUGUGUGGGAAAGAAAUAAAAUGUGCAUAGUAAGUGUCUGGUACAUUUUCGAUGAUUAUAAUAAAUAAAUGUUAUUUUUCCCUGAUUAGAAAUUAUUAUACUUUUUUGAAAAGUUGCAUAACUAUAUAUAACAUUUUUCCUAUU
ensembl:lncRNA